CCUACGGGUGGCAGCAGUAGGGGAUAUUGCUCAAUGGGGGAAACCCUGAAGCAGCAACGCCGCGUGGAGGAUGAAGGGUUUCGGAGUGUAAACUCCUUUUGUCAGAGAAGAUAAUGACGGUAUCUAACGAAUAAGCACCGACUAACUCCGUGCCAGCAGCCGCGGUAAUACGGAGGGUGCAAGCGUUACCCGGAAUUACUGGGCGUAAAGAGCGCGUAGGCGGGAUAGCAAGUCAGAUGUGAAAUCCUAUGGCCUAACCAUAGAACUGCAUUUGAAACUGUUAUUCUAGAGUAUGGGAGAGGUAGGUGGAAUUCUUGGUGUAGGGGUAAAAUGCGUAGAGAUCAAGAGGAAUACUCAUUGCGAAGGCGACCUGCUAGAAUAUAACUGACGCUGAUGCGCGAAAGCGUGGGGAGCAAACAGGAUUAGAUACCCUUGUAGUC
rnacentral:rRNA from 1 species